UACAGAGGGUGCAAGCGUUGUUCGGAAUUAUUGGGCAUAAAGCGCGUGUAGGCGGCUUUGCAAGUCGGGUGUGAAAGCCCCGGGCUCAACCUGGGAAUUGCAUUCGAGACUGCAUAGCUAGGGUGCGGAAGAGGGAAGCGGAAUUUCCGGUGUAGCGGUGAAAUGCGUAGAUAUCGGAAGGAACAUCAGUGGCGAAAGCGGCUUCCUGGUCCAGCACCGACGUUCAGGCACGAAAGCGUGGGGAGCAAACAGG
rnacentral:rRNA from 1 species